AACGAACGCUGGCGGCAGGCCUAACACAUGCAAGUCGAACGUGAAGCCACCUUCGGGGGGUGGAAAGUGGCAGACGGGUGAGUAACGGGUAGGAACGUGCCUUUCGGUUCGGGAUAACCCAGGGAAACUUGGGCUAAUACCGGACACGCCUUCCGGGGGAAAGAUUCAUUGCCGAAAGAUCGGCCCGCGUCGGAUUAGCUAGUUGGGGGGGUAAAAGCCUAACAAGGCGACGAUCCGUAGCUGGUCUGAGAGAAUGACCAGCCACACUGGGACUGAGACACGGCCCAGACUCCUGCGGGAGGCAGCAGUGGGGAAUAUUGGAAAAUGGGCGCAAGCCUGAUCCAGCCAUGCCUCGUGGGUGAAGAAGGCCCUAGGGUUGUAAACCCCUUUCAUCGGGGAAGAUAAUGACGGUACCCGCAGAAGAAGCCCCGGCUAACUCCGUGCCAGCAGCCGCCGUAACAC
rnacentral:rRNA from 1 species